GAGGAAAUCAAAGGCUCUGCAAAACCAGGACUGAACAUUGAGAGCAAAGAGAGUGAAGCAAAAUAAAAACUGUCCCACUGAAGGAAGGUUUAAAUCAAUUUUAUAUCAAGUCUAUGGGAUAAAAGAAGCAGCUCCUGCUCCCAGCAAAAGGAAUUUCCUGAGGAGCCUGAAGCAAAUAUUUGGCAGUUCCAAUUCUGAGUUUUAGAGAACAGUUAAUUUGCCAAAACUGAAGAUACGGACAAGAACCCAUUGAGACGACUACUCU